UAAUGAUUUUAUUUAUUUUAACAUUUUAAAAUGUUUUCCUUUGGGGAAUUCUAAUUUAUAUAUCAAUAUUCAGGUAAUAUUUGCUGAAAACACAAACAGAGUCAAAAUGAUCUGCAUUCACAUUCUCAUUUUCUAUUAUAACAUAGAGACAACUACUUUAUUAUCUUUUUAGAAACUUUUGCAACUACUUUAGUUUCUUCCUAAUUUUAUAAAUUAAUCUAUCUCAAAAAACUUUGCCCAAAAGACUUAGUAAUAGCUGUCAACUUCAGAAAAACUAAAACUUUAAAGAUAACUUUUAGAAGGAAAAUGAAAUACAGAAAUAAUGUAUCUUAUUUACACUUAAUUAAAAAUAAUAUGAAUUGUCACUAUUUCCUAUGAAAACAUCUCAUGCCAAAUUUCUUUUAUUAAGCUAGGAUUUAAAAGAUAAUUUAGUUGAAACUGGUAGAAUCUUAGUAAAAUUAUAACAAUAAGAAAUUUUUAUAUUAUAUAUAAUAUAGAAUAAUCACAUUUAAUUCCACUUGUUAGUCUAUUCUGAUUCUUUAGCAAGUUGAUUCAUAAUUUGCCAACUUGGGUCAGAAAUAUUUUCUAUUCUUAGCUUUUGCUGUCAGCAGAGAUAAUAAUAAUAUAGAACCUGAACAACAAAGGAUUGUGUAUUGUUUCAAUUUAAUUAAAGUUGAUUCCCUGCUUUAAGAGAGACUCACAUUUUAUAUAUUUUUUUAUUAAAAAGAGAAUGUAGAUAUUUGCUUUUCCAAAUUUCCCAUAAGAUAAAGAAAACAUAUUUUUUCUUAAUUACACCCUUGCUAAGUCACGCUAGCUGCCUGACCUUGGACAAAAUUCUUAACCUCUUUGUGUCUCAUUUUCAAUAACUGUGAAUUAAAGAUGAUUAUUGUAGUAUAUUUCUCAAGGGAUUGUUGUGGGAAUUAAAUAAAAUAAUCCUCUAAAAUGCUUAGUACAGAUUCUGGAACAUAAUAAGCAGAAAAAAUUAAUAACUUAUUAUUUUUAUUUACUAUAUUAUAUGACAUACUUUUUCUUUAUGAUCUUCAGGGGAAUUUCUACUCAUCUUAAAAACAUAUAUAGAUAUUGAUCUGCGGAGAAAUAUAUCUCUGUUAUUUCAAGGUCUGUGGAUUACAUAAUGGUCAACUCUGAUUGAUUUACUGAUUGAUUCAAAAAAUUUUAAAGCAAAACUAAAAAUAUUGCAGCUAUGUUGGUUUUAACCAUUCUAAACUCUGAUGAAAUUUGCUUUCUGUUUGGUUUGUGACUAGGAAGCUAAACAUUAUUUAUUAGUAAUGAAAAUUUCUGGUGUCUAAAAAAAUUCAAGAGGAAAACCAUUAGAUUCUAUUACAAUUAAAUCUGUUAAGAUUUAAUUGCAAAUAUGUAGAUAGUGCAAAUAUGUCUUAGGGUACAAUUUUUGUUCUCAUUAAGUUACCCAUUUUACAUUUUGAGAACACUAACAGAUGAAAUACUUGUCAAAGAGAAGAUCUAAGAUGGUUUAAAGAAAAUAUUAAAUGAAAUCAAACUUACUUGUCAAGCUCCAUAGCACAACUUACAAGUCAUAAAUCGCACUCUGUAUGACAGCUACGGGAGGGAUCUGGGUAGUAAAACAAAAUGAUGGAUUUUAUCUUUCCUGUUUUUGAGUUAUUAAGAACUAGUUGAACUAUAGAAUGACGUGAAAGACUCACAUCAGGGAUGGGAGGUUAUUUGCAGAAACUCUUAUUUUCUUUAUCACAUUAAUGUCAAUAUUUGACAUUUCCAUACGACUAAUUAUUGAACUAAUUUUUGAUUUCUUAUGCCAACUGUUAAUAAUCCUCUUUUCAUCCAGAAAACAAUCACUUUUUGUCUAUCUGUAAAUUGACAUUUGUUAUGUUAAUUUGUUUUUGCUUAUUACAAGGAUUAUCUUUUAUUUACAACAAAGCAUUCACAGAUUGCCGUGACAGAUUUGUCUUCAAUCAAAUCUCAUAAACAUUAAUUGAAUUAUUGAAAGGAAUUUGUAAAUUAUUGUGUUUUUUCUAAAAUAGUAACAUCAGCGUGUAUAUUACGUUAAUUUUGUUUACAGUUUUUUGCUUCACAUUAACUAUAUUUAACUGAUUUUAACAGCCUUAGAUAACUCCAAAACAUCAAUUACUUUACUUGGAUUUAUUAAUUCAUUCAAAAAAUAUAUAUAUAAUGAGAAUCUAUUAUUUGCCAGGCACUGGGCUAGGCAAAGGUAAGAGUGAAUGGCAAAAUCAUGUUCUCCCUGUUUUCCUGUAAUAUAUUGUCUGGCUAAAGGCUGUGAAGGAAGAGUAAUGUGAAGGAAGAGUAUUCGAAGGAUAUAAGAAAAGGGAUCACACAAUUAACUGUAUGUAGGCUGUUCUUAGGGAAGAUUUCUUCUAGAGGUGGUACUUGGCCUUCAGUCAGAAGCAUGAUUUGAUAUUUGAUGUUAACCAGGUAAUUGAGGGGAUAAGGUGCUUUCUCAGCAGAAAAGACAUAGUAGGCAAAGUCUUUAAGUUAAAAGCAUAGUGAAAGCUCAAAACUAAAAGGAGGCUUGGGUGUCUGGACUCCAGAGACAGGAAGAGAGUUUAUAGAGUCUAGCAGAGAUAGCAGAGAAGACUUUAUCUUUUUUUUUUCUUUUUUUUUUUUUCUGUAGCAAACAUCUUUCCUGUGAAAAAUUCCCUCUCCUAGUACUUUAGUUCUGUGGAUCCAAAAUUUAUAGCAUUCUUCUACCACCACAGGGGCUCAUAUGACAUUAACAGACAAGACACUUUUCAGAAAGACAGGGAACUGUGGAAGUAAACCAGGGGUGACAUGGAUUAUCAAAUAUUGUGGAUCAGGUUGUUCUUUUGGGCCACAUCUAAGAAAUCUUUGUCUAGCCAAAAGCCACAAAUAAUUUCUCAUUUUUUGGCUUCUGGAAGAUGUACAGUUAAAUGUUAUAUUUGGGACUGUUAUCUAAUUUGGUUAAAUUGCACUCUACAAUAUGGUAUUUGAAUUGAUGAAAAAUUAGUAAAUGUUAAUAUUUUUUAAAGUAGCCAAAUCUUGCAAUUUAUAUAUAAUAGAGAAGACUAGAAAAUCCCCCAUAUUUAUUUCCUCUUACUUCGUACUACUAAAAUUUGUAUUUAGGCAUUUGGUUUCUCAGAUAAACAUUACAUUCCCCAGUAUAUGGUUCUAUCUGGCUUGGUGACGACAUGUUGAACAUUAAGAUGUGAGCAGAAGUAAUACAUACACACUCUUUUUCAUGUCUUUAAUUGAAUGGGAUAUUGGCCCAUUUUUUCUUCCAGUUUAUUACACUGAAUAUUGACAUGUUAUUUUCCAAUAUUGAGACAAUCAAUGACAAGACUUUAAGAGUAACAAUGUAAAAAUACAGAAGUUGUCUGAGUUUAUCAACAAUCCCCUGGAUUAGAACCCCCUACCAGUUCUAGGUCAUCUAAUAUAUAGACAUUGUGUUCAGUAGAAAUAAAUAUAUAUAUUUUUUAUUAUGCUUUAAGUUCUAGGAUACAUGUGCACAACAUGCAGUUUUGUUACAUUGGUAUACACGUGCCAUGUUGGUUUGCUGCACCCAUUAACUCAUCAUUUACAUUAGGUAUUUCUCCUAAUGCUAUCCCUCCCCCUGCCCCCACCCCCGACAGGCCCUGGGGUGUGAUUUUCCCCACCCUGUGUCCAAGUGUUCUCAUUGCUCAAUUCCCACCUAUGGGAAUACAUUUUUAAAUCAUUUUUAAAGGUGUUAUUACAUUCUGAUUGAACAUUUUCAGAAAGAAUAAAUAAUUUAAUACAAGAAGUGGGCCACUUCAUGUAACAAAACAAACCACCACUACAGCAACAACAACAAAAAACACUAAUGAAUGUGACUUUAGCUUUGCAACAUCGUGACAGACUAGCAAGUUAAUGACAUUUGUUAUGCCAUAGAAAAUAUUUGUUGAAUUGCCACUCUAAUGACUUUAUAUCAGCCAACUCAUUAUCAACACUAGAAAAGAUGAUUAAAAAAUACUUCAGUACGUUCACGUGUUGGCUUGUUAACAUUUUUAAGAGUCUAUAAGAGAAAAAUGCAUCCAAUCUUGACAAAAAUAUUUUUCAAGUAUCUUGUAGGUACGUACAACUAACUACCUUGUGAACAAAAGUCACUAUAUAAUUAUAUAAUUUCUGACACUUAAAAAAGUUUAUUGUGCUAAAGAAGAUAUAUGUUCUAAUACCAAAUCCACAUAUAAAAUAAUUGACUUAAAUAAUUUAAGAUGCUCUUUUAUAUAUUUAUAUUAAAAACUUUACAGAGAAUAAAAAAAGCAUUAUACAGGCUACUUAUGGUUUUUGAUGUUUGGAUCUACAAUACAUGUAUCAAAGAUUGUGGAAAUAAAUCAAACAAUAUAUUCAAUUGGACUUAAUUGCAUUAUUACAUGCCAAGUGUCGUAUACCAUCUAUUUGCACAUAACACUUUUUAAUUUAGGUAAAAUUAUUAUCAUAAAGCUACAUGAAUUUAUUUUAUUCCAUGUUAUUAUUUAUGUAUUGUUAGGAACAUUUGCUUAAAAAUCAUAUUUGGACAUAGUUAGUAUCAGAUACUUUACAUCCUUUGAAUCAGUUAUUUUAUAACAGUAUAUACUAAACAUCAUUACUCCUUUUCAAACAUAAAUAACGCAAUACAAAUUGGACAAAAAAUUCAGGAAAGAUCUGGGAUCAAAAAGGAGGUAUUGAAACAUCACAUGUACUCCAUAAUUAUAUACAAAUAUUUUGUACCCAUAAUAUUUAAAAUACAGAAAAUUAAAAGGUGCAUUUUCCUCAAAGUGCAUGCUUCUUUUGCUAUGCAAAACUGCAAGAUAUGGAAAGAAGUGUAUUAAAACACUAAAUCACUUUAUGUGGAAGAUAAAAGGGAUGGUACCCAAUGUAAGACUUCAUGUAGUGCACUGAUACAUUCAAUACAAAUGAUGUAUUAACUUCAAGAUAACAUGAGAAAGUUAAAUUAUCUAACUUAUUUCAAACUAGGGGAUAGUAUGUUCUCAUUAUUAGAAGCCAGAAUUCUGCUUAUCCAUUUCUAUUAUUAGAAAAAAACAUAAUUUUUAUUCUUGUCUUAAAAAUAGACACCAUGAUAUCAUUCUCUGUAAAUGCAGCAUGAUAGUCUGUUUACAGAGUUUAUAUCAUUCCAAGACUGCACUUCUAAAGUGAGAAAAUAUUAAAGGAUAUAAACUCACUCCUCUCUACAAAAUUCCUUAUUUUUUAUGCAAUGGCUUUAAAAUGUAUGGAAGGGGAGUUAUGGAAACAAUCCAUACCUGGAAAGCAUUCUAUCCAUGCCUUUGAAAUGGUUAUCUAGUACUAGAUUCUUAUCAGUGCCUAGCUAUGUAAUGUGUGUAGCUUAAGAUUUUUAAGAAAGAAGGAUAAAAUGCUCAAUAUAAAUUUAAAAAGCACUUUUAUUGGAAUAUUGAAUCAUAUAUUUGCUUUCUGUAAGUCCUUUUAUCUAUAAAAUAAUAGUUGAGAAAGGCAAAUAGAAUAUGUGGAGGAAUUAAAAAUUCAGUUGUAGGGUGGUAAAUGAAAACCAAAUUUUUCAUUCACCACAUUAAAUGUAAAUGGGUAUUAUACUCAAUUUAAGCAGCAAAGUUGCUUUUUUUUUUUUUUUUUUUUUUG
rnacentral:lncRNA from 1 species